rnacentral:lncRNA from 1 species
CCCCUUAGGUUCCAAUCAGCCCAGGGAUUGGCUGCACUUGGGUCAGUACCCACCAUUGGACCAUUCAAGUGUGUCUGGCUUGGUCACGUGGUACAGAUUUGGCCAUAUAUGUCUGCUUUCUCUGUGGGAAGCUGUGUGCCGUGAAGUAUUCUGUGGGCAGCAGGGAAAGGCAUAACAUCUACCAUAAGUGACCAGUGCAGGAGAGACUAAUCCAGAAAAAUGUAUCUGACGGGUGAUAUCAGAGGACCAAAAACUCCACCCAAGAUCAUGCUGAUGCCUCCAUUUUUAAACGUGCGUCCCAUGAAGAGCUAUGAAGAUUUAGUCUUUACCUCCAGUCACCUUUCCAUGCCUCAGACCACUGGCUUCUUCAGCCCAUAAGUGCCUGCUGAGCCCUAUCCUGGGACAGAUUUGAGCCUGGCUCUCCCAUGCCACACACCUGGCCACCGUGUGAAUAAACUCUCCCUUCUGCAAAACUUGACUGGCAUACUGCAUGGUGGGCAAAA